UACGUAGGGUGCGAGCGUUGUCCGGAAUUAUUGGGCGUAAAGAGCUUGUAGGCGGUCUGUCGCGUCUGCUGUGAAAAUCCGGGGCUCAACCCCGGACUUGCAGUGGGUACGGGCAGACUAGGGUGUGGUAGGGGAGACUGGAAUUCCUGGUGUAGCGGUGAAAUGCGCAGAUAUCAGGAGGAACACCGAUGGCGAAGGCAGGUCUCUGGGCCACUACUGACGCUGAGAAGCGAAAGCAUGGGGAGCGAACAGG
rnacentral:rRNA from 1 species